rnacentral:rRNA from 1 species
UACAGAGGGGGCAAGCGUUGUUCGGAAUUACUGGGCGUAAAGCGCACGUAGGCUGCUUGGUAUGUCGGGUGUGAAAUCCCCGGGCUCAACCUGGGAACUGCAUCCGAAACUGCCUUGCUAGAGUAUGGGAGAGGGAAGUGGAAUUUCCGGUGUAGCGGUGAAAUGCGUAGAUAUCGGAAGGAACAUCAGUGGCGAAGGCGACUUCCUGGACCAAUACUGACGCUCAGGUGCGAAAGCGUGGGGAGCAAACAGG